GCCCAGCCAUAAACACAAGUAGUAGCCUUACACCUGCUGCUCGCCCGGGGACUACGAGCAUAAGCUUAAAACCCAAAGGACUUGGCGGUGCUUUAGAUCCACCUAGAGGAGCCUGUUCUAGAACCGAUAACCCCCGUUCAACCUCACCUUUUCUUGUUUCCCCCGCCUAUAUACCGCCGUCGUCAGCCUACCCUGUGAAGAACACAUAGUAAGCAAAAUUGGCAGAGCCCAAAACGUCAGGUCGAGGUGUAGCGUAUGAAAAGGAAAGAAAUGGGCUACAUUUACUGAACCAGUACACACGAACGAUGCUUUGAAACAAACAUCUGAAGGAGGAUUUAGCAGUAAGGAGGAAAAUAGAGAGUUCCCCUGAAACCGGCCCUGAAGCGCGC
rnacentral:rRNA from 1 species